rnacentral:piRNA from 1 species
AGAUGAAAGAGUUGUAGGGAAGGAACAA